rnacentral:rRNA from 1 species
UUUAUUGGAGAGUUUGAUCCUGGCUCAGGAUGAACGCUGGCGGCGUGCCUAAUACAUGCAAGUCGAGCGAAUGGAUUAAGAGCUUGCUCUUAUGAAGUUAGCGGCGGACGGGUGAGUAACACGUGGGUAACCUGCCUAUAAGACUGGGAUAACUCCGGGAAACCGGGGCUAAUACCGGAUAACAUUUUGAACCGCAUGGUUCGAAAUUGAAAGGCGGCUUCGGCUGUCACUU